rnacentral:lncRNA from 1 species
GCACCUUUCUCCUUCGUUUCUCUAGACCUCCACCUCUGCAACUACGCACGUACGUUUUAAAGUACACCUUGUAAACCCAUUUCUGUUAAGCCCCAUACCAGAAAAUCUCUCGCACCAUUAAUUAAUUGCCAUAAUCUCCAUUUCUUUUCUUCAAGAAAAAUCAAAUUCAUAAAACCCAAAACAUGACUUUAAACAAAUUUGUUAAACACCCAACAUAAUUUACCUUAUAUAUAUAUACACACACACACACACACACACACACACACACACACAUAGGUUGAGCAGAUCUUGAAGCUGGAGUGUGAGCUUCCAUUUGCUUGACGUUUUGUUUAGUGAUUGUUGAAGUUGGGGGCCAAGGGUGAAGAAUAUAGGAAGCAGAUGUGGCUGAAAUUGAUCAUCUUUUAUAGCAAUAUUAGAUUCGGGAAGUGGGGUUUUCUGUUUGGGUUAUUAGAUUUCAGAUGAAGUUUCAUAUUGAAUUAAUAUUAAUUGAUUUUCUUGGAUUUCUUUGAUAAUUACAAGCCUAAAUUUGUUAAUCUUGCUUGGUUUAUUAACGGUAAGAGAGAAGAUGAAGCCUGAAGGCAUAUGGUAUUGUACAGAGAGAUUUAACGGCGAUUGUCUCUUUUGUUGAUAGCAGUCGUUGCGGGCUUUUGAGGUUGUCGGUGAUGAUGGGUGUGAAAUGGUUUCUUGAAUAUGGG